rnacentral:rRNA from 1 species
UACGGGGGGGGCAAGCGUUGUUCGGAUUUACUGGGCGUAAAGGGCUCGUAGGUGGCCAACUAAGUCAGACGUGAAAUCCCUCGGCUUAACCGGGGAACUGCGUCUGAUACUGGAUGGCUUGGAUUCGGGAGAGGAAUGCGGAAUUCCAGGUGUAGCGGUGAAAUGCGUAGAUAUCUGGAGGAACACCGGUGGCGAAGGCGGCAUUCUGGACCGACAUUGACGCUGAGGAGCGAAAGCCAGGGGAGCAAAGCGGG